rnacentral:rRNA from 1 species
CCUACGGGAGGCAGCAGUGGGGAAUAUUGGACAAUGGGCGAAAGCCUGAUCCAGCAAUGCCGCGUGAGUGAUGAAGGCCUUAGGGUUGUAAAGCUCUUUUACCAGGGAUGAUAAUGACAGUACCUGGAGAAUAAGCUCCGGCUAACUCCGUG